UACCAGCACCCCGAGUGGUCGGGACGUUUAUUGGGCCUAAAGCAUCCGUAGCCGGUUCUACAAGUCUUCCGUUAAAUCCAACUGCUUAACAGGUGGGCUGCGGAAGAUACUAUAGAGCUAGGAGGCGGGAGAGGCAAGCGGUACUCGAUGGGUAGGGGUAAAAUCCGUUGAUCCAUUGAAGACCACCAGUGGCGAAGGCGGCUUGCCAGAACGCGCUCGACGGUGAGGGAUGAAAGCUGGGGAGCAAACCGGG
rnacentral:rRNA from 1 species